CUCACCCUCAGGGCCUUUCUUGCCUGAGCAAAGGGAUCAUCAGAUGAUGCAGGCAGCCCCAGGCAGAGAGGCUGGCAGUGUGGGAAGAGGAGCUACCUGGCUAAGCCCAGGCCCUUGUGCAGCACUAGGCUAGCCCUCAAACCAUGCUUCACCCCACUCUCAGGCUGUAGGUGGGGGUCUCUGAGGGGCCAGAAGGCACCCUCUUCCUCCCUGGGCCUGGGAUGAGAACCACCCCGUCCCCCAAGGAUUUGUGUCCCUCUGAGUCUUGGAGACUUUGUAUCUGGCAGGGACGUGGGACUCCAGCACACCAGCCCUGCCCUCUGCCCACUCGCUCCAUUGUCCAGCAGUGACUAAGGCCCAGGGAGGGGCACUGGUCACUCCAAGCACCAGAGCAUGUCUAUGGCCAAUGGUGGUUUUGAAACUUCCAAAGUCAGAAGUGCUGGAGAAGAUAUCUGUUGGAACCCUCUCAUUUUAAGGGUGAGGACAUUGAAGCUCAGAGAGGUAAACUGACUCCCCAAGGACACACAGCAAGUAACCCUUGGGAGAGGGGAGGGCAUCGUGCAGGGGUGUGGGUCACACAGGA
rnacentral:lncRNA from 10 species